GACAGAGGAUGCAAGCGUUAUCCGGAAUGAUUGGGCGUAAAGCGUCUGUAGGUGGCUUUUUAAGUCCGCCGUCAAAUCCCAGGGCUCAACCCUGGACAGGCGGUGGAAACUACCAAGCUGGAGUACGGUAGGGGCAGAGGGAAUUUCCGGUGGAGCGGUGAAAUGCGUAGAUAUCGGAAAGGAACACCAGUGGCGAAGGCGGCUACCUGGAUUGACACUGACACUGAGGCGCGAGAGCGUGGGGAGCAAACAGGG
rnacentral:rRNA from 1 species